GGUGGUCGGAGGGUUAAAAACCCUCGUCCCUUCAAGCAAAACACAGGUACCAAAAAUCAGGCGAAGAUCGCGUUAUGGAUGCGAAUCUUGCCUGGUGACCACAAGACGGCCUCUGCUGCGAAGAUCUCGGUACCGAUAGAGGCGCAAAGGUUAGUGGUGAGGCCUGAGAUCACAGUGCACUGAUGGUGGUGAUGUUUAAACCACUUGAUCGUUGUGAGGCAAACGGCGGUGACGUUCGGAGUGCCUAAAGUCUCUGGUCAGUGCUUUGAUGGGAUCUCGUGUGAGGUGGCCAUCGAUCUGACCAGCAUUGAUAAGGGCUAGCUGGGGUGACGUGAGGGGACAAGGCUAUUGAUGGCCCUUGCUUCGGGAUUUGGAACAGCUCUGACGUGACGAAGCUUCUGGAACUGCUUCUGCGGCGCUGAGGUUCCAAGGAAACCCUAAGGUUUGCUGUGGUGUUUUAAGUCAUUGGGCCUUUUGGGCCCGAGUGACUUGGGUCUGUAGUAGAUUGGUUUGGGUAGUGGGUCUGUUUGUAAGGGUUAUUGGGUUUGGACUUUUUAACGGACUUUUAAAAUAAAUAAAUAUUCAUUUAUUCAUUUAUUUUUUGUUUUAGGUUUUAAAGCCCGGGCAGAUUUGGGCUGCUACAGCUACCCCUCUUUGUUCAUUGCUGUGUAAUAGGAAUCGAGCAAAGACUUAUAGACAGACCAAA